rnacentral:rRNA from 1 species
AUACGUAGGGAGCGAGCGUUGUCCGGAAUUACUGGGCGUAAAGGGCGCGUAGGCCGUGUUAUAAGUUAGUUGUAAAACGUGUGGGCUUAACCCGCAUUCGCAACUAAAACUGUAACGCUAGAGGCAUAGAGAGGCAGACGGAAUUCCUGGUGUAGCGGUGAAAUGCGUAGAUAUCAGGAAGAAUACCAGUGGCGAAGGCGGUUUGCUGGCUGCAUACUGACGCUGAAGCGCGAAAGCCAGGGGAGCAAACGGGAUUAGAUACCCCGGUAGUCCUGGCAGUAAACGAUGUAUGCUGGGUGUGGGAGUAGCGAUACCUCCGUGCCGAAGUUAACGCGAUAAGCAUACCGCCUGGGGAGUACGGUCGCAAGACUGAAACUCAAAGGAAUUGACGGGG